rnacentral:rRNA from 1 species
UCAAGUGAAGAAGCGCAUACGGUGGAUGCCUUGGCAGUCAGAGGCGAUGAAAGACGUGGUAGCCUGCGAAAAGCUUCGGGGAGUCGGCAAACAGACUGUGAUCCGGAGAUGUCUGAAUGGGGGAACCCAGCCAUCAUAAGAUGGUUAUCUUACACUGAAUACAUAGGUGUAAGAGGCGAACCAGGGGAACUGAAACAUCUAAGUACCCUGAGGAAAAGAAAUCAACCGAGAUUCCCUUAGUAGUGGCGAGCGAACGGGGACCAGCCCUUAAGUUGUAUUGAGAUUAGCGGAACGCUCUGGAAAGGGCGGCCAUAGUGGGUGAUAGCCCUGUACGCGAAAAUCCCUUUGCAAUGAAAUCGAGUAGGACGGGGCACGAGAAACCUUGUCUGAAUAUGGGGGGACCAUCCUCCAAGGCUAAAUACUACUGACUGACCGAUAGUGAACCAGUACCGUGAGGGAAAGGCGAAAAGAACCGCGGAGAGCGGAGUGAAAUAGAUCCUGAAACCGUAUGCGUACAAGCAGUGGGAGCCCACUUUGUUGGGUGACUGCGUACCUUUUGUAUAAUGGGUCAGCGACUUAUUUUCAGUGGCGAGCUUAACCGAAUAGGGGAGGCGUAGCGAAAGCGAGUCUUAAUAGGGCGUCUAGUCGCUGGGAAUAGACCCGAAACCGGGCGAUCUAUCCAUGGGCAGGUUGAAGGUUGGGUAACACUAACUGGAGGACCGAACCGACUACCGUUGAAAAGUUAGCGGAUGACCUGUGGAUCGGAGUGAAAGGCUAAUCAAGCUCGGAGAUAGCUGGUUCUCCUCGAAAGCUAUUUAGGUAGCGCCUCAUGUAUCACUGUAGGGGGUAGAGCACUGUUUCGGCUAGGGGGUCAUCCCGACUUACCAAACCGAUGCAAACUCCGAAUACCUACAAGUGCCGAGCAUGGGAGACACACGGCGGGUGCUAACGUCCGUCGUGAAAAGGGAAACAACCCAGACCGUCAGCUAAGGUCCCAAAGUCAUGGUUAAGUGGGAAACGAUGUGGGAAGGCUUAGACAGCUAGGAGGUUGGCUUAGAAGCAGCCACCCUUUAAAGAAAGCGUAAUAGCUCACUAGUCGAGUCGGCCUGCGCGGAAGAUGUAACGGGGCUCAAACCAUGCACCGAAGCUACGGGUAUCACCUUUGGUGAUGCGGUAGAGGAGCGUUCUGUAAGCCUGUGAAGGUGAGUUGAGAAGCUUGCUGGAGGUAUCAGAAGUGCGAAUGCUGACAUGAGUAACGACAAUGGGUGUGAAAAACACCCACGCCGAAAGACCAAGGUUUCCUGCGCAACGUUAAUCGACGCAGGGUUAGUCGGUCCCUAAGGCGAGGCUGAAAAGCGUAGUCGAUGGAAAACAGGUUAAUAUUCCUGUACUUCUGGUUAUUGCGAUGGAGGGACGGAGAAGGCUAGGCCAGCCUGGCGUUGGUAGUCCAGGUUUAAGGUGGUAGGCUGAGAUCUUAGGUAAAUCCGGGAUCUUAAGGCCGAGAGCUGAUGACGAGUGUUCUUUUAGAACAUGAAGUGGUUGAUGCCAUGCUUCCAAGAAAAGCUUCUAAGCUUCAGGUAACCAGGAACCGUACCCCAAACCGACACAGGUGGUUGGGUAGAGAAUACCAAGGCGCUUGAGAGAACUCGGGUGAAGGAACUAGGCAAAAUGGCACCGUAACUUCGGGAGAAGGUGCGCCGGUGAGGGUGAAGCAUUUACUGCGUAAGCCCACGCCGGUCGAAGAUACCAGGCCGCUGCGACUGUUUAUUAAAAACACAGCACUCUGCAAACACGAAAGUGGACGUAUAGGGUGUGACGCCUGCCCGGUGCCGGAAGGUUAAUUGAUGGGGUUAGCGCAAGCGAAGCUCUUGAUCGAAGCCCCGGUAAACGGCGGCCGUAACUAUAACGGUCCUAAGGUAGCGAAAUUCCUUGUCGGGUAAGUUCCGACCUGCACGAAUGGCGUAACGAUGGCGGCGCUGUCUCCACCCGAGACUCAGUGAAAUUGAAAUCGCUGUGAAGAUGCAGUGUAUCCGCGGCUAGACGGAAAGACCCCGUGAACCUUUACUAUAGCUUUGCACUGGACUUUGAAUUUGCUUGUGUAGGAUAGGUGGGAGGCUUUGAAGCGUGGACGCCAGUCUGCGUGGAGCCAACCUUGAAAUACCACCCUGGCAACUUUGAGGUUCUAACUCAGGUCCGUUAUCCGGAUCGAGGACAGUGUAUGGUGGGUAGUUUGACUGGGGCGGUCUCCUCCUAAAGAGUAACGGAGGAGUACGAAGGUGCGCUCAGACCGGUCGGAAAUCGGUCGUAGAGUAUAAAGGCAAAAGCGCGCUUGACUGCGAGACAGACACGUCGAGCAGGUACGAAAGUAGGUCUUAGUGAUCCGGUGGUUCUGUAUGGAAGGGCCAUCGCUCAACGGAUAAAAGGUACUCCGGGGAUAACAGGCUGAUACCGCCCAAGAGUUCAUAUCGACGGCGGUGUUUGGCACCUCGAUGUCGGCUCAUCACAUCCUGGGGCUGAAGCCGGUCCCAAGGGUAUGGCUGUUCGCCAUUUAAAGUGGUACGCGAGCUGGGUUUAGAACGUCGUGAGACAGUUCGGUCCCUAUCUGCCGUGGACGUUUGAGAUUUGAGAGGGGCUGCUCCUAGUACGAGAGGACCGGAGUGGACGAACCUCUGGUGUUCCGGUUGUCACGCCAGUGGCAUUGCCGGGUAGCUAUGUUCGGAAAAGAUAACCGCUGAAAGCAUCUAAGCGGGAAACUUGCCUCAAGAUGAGAUCUCACUGGAACCUUGAGUUCCCUGAAGGGCCGUCGAAGACUACGACGUUGAUAGGUUGGGUGUGUAAGCGCUGUGAGGCGUUGAGCUAACCAAUACUAAUUGCCCGUGAGGCUUGACCAU